AGUGAACGCUGGCGGCGUGCCUAAUACAUGCAAGUCGAACGGAGAUUAAGUAGCUUGCUAUUUAAUCUUAGUGGCGCACGGGUGAGUAAUAUAUAGCUAACUUGCCCAUUACUAAGGGACAACAGUUGGAAACGACUGCUAAUACCUUAUACUCCGUAUCUAUAUAAGUAGAUACGGGAAAGUUUUUCGGUAAUGGAUAGGGCUAUAUCGUAUCAGCUAGUUGGUAAGGUGAUGGCUUACCAAGGCUAUGACGCGUAACUGGUCUGAGAGGAUGAUCAGUCACACUGGAACUGAGACACGGUCCAGACUCCUACGGGAGGCAGCAGUAGGGAAUAUUGCUCAAUGGGGGAAACCCUGAAGCAGCAACGCCGCGUGGAGGAUGACACUUUUCGGAGCGUAAACUCCUUUUCUUGGGAAAGAAUUAUGACGGUACCCAAGGAAUAAGCACCGGCUAACUCCGUG
rnacentral:rRNA from 1 species